GACGAACGCUGGCGGCGUGCUUAACACAUGCAAGUCGAACGGAAAGGCCCUGCUUUUGUGGGGUGCUCGAGUGGCGAACGGGUGAGUAACACGUGAGUAACCUGCCCUUGACUUUGGGAUAACUUCAGGAAACUGGGGCUACUACCGGAUAGCAGCUCCUGCUGCAUGGUGGGGGUUGGAAAGUCUCGGCGGUUGGGGAUGGACUCGCGGCUUACCAGCUAGUUGGUGGGGUAGUCGCUUACCAAGGCAUUGACGGGUAGCCGGCCUGAGAGGGUGACCGGCCACAUGGGGACUGAGAGACGGCCCAGACGCCUACGGGAGGCAGCAGUGGGGAAUAUUGCACAAUGGGCGGAAGCCUGAUGCAGCAACGCCGCGUGCGGGAUGACGGCCUUCGGGUUGUAAACCGCUUUCGCCUGUGACGAAGCGUGAGUGACGGUAAUGGGUAAAGAAGCACCGGCUAACUACGUG
rnacentral:rRNA from 1 species